AGAGUUUGAUCCUGGCUCAGAAUGAACGCUGGCGGCGUGCCUAACACAUGCAAGUCGGAUGUGCCCGCAAGGGUGCAUGGCAGACGGGUGAGUAACGCGUGGGGAACCUACCUCUUUGUGGGGAAUAACGUUCCGAAAGGAAUGGUAAUACCGCAUGAGACCUUCGGCUGGGAUGCUGGAGGUGAAACCCGGGGACCGUAAGGCCUGGGGCAAGGAGAGGGUCCUGCGUCUGAUUAGCUAGUUGGCGGGGUAAUGGCCCACCAAGGCGACGAUCAGUAGCCGGCCUGAGAGGGUGAUCGGCCACACUGGAACUGAGACACGGUCCAGACUCCUACGGGAGGCAGCAGUGGGGAAUUUUGCGCAAUGGACGAAAGUCUGACGCAGCAACGCCGCGUGGGUGAUGAAGGUCUUCGGAUUGUAAAACCCUGUCGUCAGGGACGAAGGUUGGGGCUUUAAUAGAGUUUCAACUUGACGGUACCUGGAGAGGAAGCCCCGGCUAACUCUGUGCCAGCAGCCGCGGUAAUACAGAGGGGGCGAGCGUUAUUCGGAAUUACUGGGCGUAAAGGGCGCGUAGGCGGUUCUUUAAGUCGGAUGUGCAAUCCCCGAGCUCAACUUGGGAACUGCAUCCGAAACUGGGGAGCUAGAGUGCUGGAGAGGGUGGUGGAAUUCCACGUGUAGCGGUGAAAUGCGUAGAGAUGUGGAGGAACACCAGUGGCGAAGGCGGCCACCUGGACAGUAACUGACGCUGAGGCGCGAAAGUGUGGGUAGCAAACAGGAUUAGAUACCCUGGUAGUCG
rnacentral:rRNA from 1 species